rfam:Phoenicopterus ruber ruber contig129621, whole genome shotgun sequence.
UUGGGGUACGGGGACAUGUACCCCAUGACGUGGUCGGGGAUGUUGGUGGGGGCUCUCUGCGCCCUGGCGGGGGUCCUCACCAUCGCCAUGCCCGUCCCCGUCAUCGUUAACAAC